UCUUAUCGCGAGAGACUGAGGGACUGGCCCCAUGAUGUCCGGCAACCUAAAAUUAUAUUUUAAGGUGCUAAUUCCAGCAGGUGAUACCUGGAAGAUAAGA
rnacentral:ncRNA from 1 species